rnacentral:lncRNA from 1 species
UUCCCUUUUGAGAUUCUCAGCCACGCUCUCUAGAGGGAACUGGGAUAACGUAGACUCUAAAGUUGUGGUUGGCCCCCACAUCAUCUGUGUGCCUACAGUCCUGUUUCUGAAGCACUGAACUAGUCCCGCAGGGCUGCACAGGUGCUGCUUGUGUGUUUGCCAGACCAUUCUGCAGCAUUCAAGUGAGGGAUUUUGGCGAGUCCCUGUCUCACCCUUGCCUAUGAGAGCAAGGAGAGGAAGAAACCCUCCUGGAUGAAGCCGUUGUGCCUUCCUGACCUUCUGCCCCAAAAUGCAAGAGAGCCAACAUCGGGGAGGGAAGCAACAUGACUUGAGAGUGGCUGUUUUGUCCGACUACACCGCGCUCUGGUGCGCCUCCAUCCCACAACCAUGUCCUGCUACGAUCUGUGCCGUCCCUGUGGGCCAACCCCGCUUGCCAACAGCUGCAACGAGCCCUGUGUCCGGCAGUGCCAG